GUCUCGGUGGCGCAAUUGGUAAGUACUUACUUCCAAGCUUAUAUUGCAGCAUCAUACUGACUCUUGGAUAGGUUAGCGCGUACGACUGUUAAUCGUGAGGUUGAGAGUUCGAUCCUCUCCCGGGACG